UAAAGCCUGUCGCACCAACUCUGUGUGGGAAACCGCUGGAGGGCCCGUGCUAACUACACGGGGUGGUAACAGACGACACGGAUACCUCCACGCCUUUUUUGGUGUAGAUACCAUGGGCAAUCCGCAGCGAAGCCUCUAAGUCCGGCCGCCGGAUAUGAGGAACGUUCACAGACUAAGUGGAAGUGGGUGGAGCGUUCGCCGCUCUGCUUAAGAUAUAGUCGGUCCCCUUGGGAAACUAAGGGGGUGAGUACACUGCUCGAAAUUUAAACUUGAGCGCAUCUCGGAUAGCGCUCGUGUUAGAAUUUCGGGACCGUCGAUUGCCUCGCGGUUCGACGGCUCUUAAAACGUUCCGUAGGUGAACCUGCGGAAGGAUCAUUACAGAAAGUAAACGCGGAUCAAACCGCGAACUUUUAAACCUUUGACGAUUGACUCAUGUUGCCUCGGCGGGUUCUCUCGCCAGAGGAUACAUCAAAACUCCUGUUUUAACGGUGUUGUCUGAGCUACAAGCAACGAAUCAAAACUUUCAACAACGGAUCUCUUGGUUCUGGCAUCGAUGAAGAACGCAGCGAAAUGCGAUAAGUAGUGUGAAUUGCAGAAUUCAGUGAAUCAUCGAAUCUUUGAACGCACAUUGCGCCCCUUGGUAUCCCGAGGGGCAUGCCUGUUCGAGCGUCAUUUCACCACUCAAGCCUGGCUUGGUGUUGGGCGACGUCCCCUUCAGGGACGCGCCUCGAAACGCUCGGCGGCGUGGCACCGGCUUUAAGCGUAGCAGAAUCUUUCGCUUCAAAAGUUGGGGCCCCGUCUGCCGGAAGACCUACUCGCAAGGUUGACCUCGGAUCAGGCAGGGAUACCCGCUGAACUUAAGCAUAUCAAUAAGCGGAGGAA
rnacentral:misc_RNA from 1 species